rnacentral:rRNA from 1 species
UACGAAGGGGGCUAGCGUUGUUCGGAUUUACUGGGCGUAAAGCGCGUGUAGGCGGGCUGGUAAGUUGGGGGUGAAAUCCCGAGGCUCAACCUCGGAACUGCCUCCAAAACUGUCAGCCUGGAGCAAGAUAGAGGCAAGUGGAAUUGCGAGUGUAGAGGUGAAAUUCGUAGAUAUUCGCAGGAACACCAGUGGCGAAGGCGACUUGCUGGAUCUUUGCUGACGCUGAGACGCGAAAGCGUGGGGAGCAAACAGG